rnacentral:rRNA from 1 species
UACGGGGGGCGAAGCGUUGUUCGGAAUUACUGGGCGUAAAGGGCUCGUAGGUGGCCAACUCAGUCAGACGUGAAAUCCCUCAGCUCAACUGGGGAACUGCGUCUGAUACUAGAUGGCUUGAGUGCAGGAGAGGAACGCGGAAUUCCAGGUGUAGCGGUGAAAUGCGUAGAUAUCUGGAGGAACACCGGUGGCGAAGGCGGCGUUCUGGACUGCAACUGACACUGAGGAACGAAAGCCAGGGAGCAAACGGG